rnacentral:rRNA from 4 species
GAGUUUGAUCGUGGCUCAGAUUGAACGCUGGCGGCAUGCCUUACACAUGCAAGUCGAACGGCAGCACGGGAGCUUGCUCCUGGUGGCGAGUGGCGAACGGGUGAGUAAUGCAUCGGAACGUAUCCUGGAGUGGGGGAUAACGUAGCGAAAGUUACGCUAAUACCGCAUAUUCUGUGAGCAGGAAAGCGGGGGACCUUCGGGCCUCGCGCUCUUGGAGCGGCCGAUGUCGGAUUAGCUAGUUGGUGAGGUAAAGGCUCACCAAGGCGACGAUCCGUAGCAGGUCUGAGAGGAUGAUCUGCCACACUGGAACUGAGACACGGUCCAGACUCCUACGGGAGGCAGCAGUGGGGAAUUUUGGACAAUGGGGGCAACCCUGAUCCAGCCAUGCCGCGUGAGUGAAGAAGGCCUCGGUUG